AAACCAUGAUGAGAACACUACUUUAAUAAACUUUUGAAUCUCUCUCAUGCUUCAAAUAGUGAUUCUCCAUCUGCCAAAGCAAAACUUGUAAUGCACUUCCUCAUAAU